rnacentral:misc_RNA from 1 species
GUGAAGUCCUAUAUUCACCUAGAACAGAUCUUCCUUUAAGAACUUUAAAAUUCCUUCCCAUUCAUCUCUAAUGUGUCUCCUCAUAAACGAAAACAAAACUUCAUAAGCAAUCAAACAGAGAUAUGUUUCCAAUUUGUCAUCAUUUGACUGUUUGUGACAAGAAAGCUGCUAACCAAUUAUGUCAGACCUAUUUGUUACAAUGACCCGCAUGGCUUAGCUUAGACACCAAAAAAGUUCUUUCAUUCUUGGCAUUUCUACCUAACUCAGCAAGAAUUAACACACACACACACAAAGGAAAUUUGUACAUAAUGUCAUUACGCCAGUGGCUGCACU